UAUUAAAAAUCCCACUCAUUUGUGCUAUUAAGAACUGACAUGGCUAACAAAAUCACCAAAAAGUGACAUGUGACAUGUCACAUAUACUUACAACGUACAGGGACUAACUUUUAACAGCAGAAAUGGAUGAAAUUUUUAACA
rfam:Gossypium arboreum cultivar AKA8401 contig_1188_3, whole genome shotgun sequence.